GACGAACCGUGCAAACGUUAUUCGGAAUCACUGGGCAUAAAGGGCGCGUAGGCGGCUUUCUAAGUCAGGGGUGAAAUCCGGCAGCUCAACUGUCGCAGUGCCUUUGAUACUGGAGAGCUCGAGGGAGGUAGGGGUCUGUGGAACUUCCGGUGGAGCGGUGAAAUGCGUUGAUAUCGAUAGGAACUCCGGUGGCGAAGGCGGCAUCCUGGACCGAGAUUGACGCUGAGGCGCGAAAGCCAGGGGAGCAAACGGG
rnacentral:rRNA from 1 species